rnacentral:rRNA from 1 species
UGGGAGGCAUACCCCGGGAACUGGGGAUAAUUCCGGAUAACGCAUAUUUGCUGGAAUGCUUUAUGCGUCAAAAGGAUUCGUCUGCCCAAGGAUGGGUCUGCGGCCUAUCAGGUAGUAGUGGGUGUAAUGUACCUACUAGCCAGCGACGGGUACGGGUGUGAGAGCAAGAGCCCGGAGAUGGAUUCUGAGACAUGAAUCCAGGCCCUACGGGGCGCAGCAGGCGCGAAAACUUUACAAUGCGGGAAACCGUGAUAAGGGGACACCGAGUGCCAGCAUCAUAUGCUGGCUGUCCGGAUGUGUAAAAUACAUCCGUUAGCAAGGGCCGGGCAAGACCGGUGCCAGCCGCCGCGGUAACACCGGCGGCCCGAGUGGUGAUCGUGAUUAUUGGGUCUAAAGGGUCCGUAGCCGGUUUGGUCAGUCCUCCGGGAAAUCUGAUAGCUCAACUAUUAGGCUUUCGGGGGAUACUGCCAGACUUGGAACCGGGAGAGGUAAGAGGUACUACAGGGGUAGGAGUGAAAUCUUGUAAUCCCUGUGGGACCACCUGUGGCGAAAGCGUCUUACCAGAACGGGUUCGACGGUGAGGGACGAAAGCUGGGGGCACGAACCGGAUUAGAUACCCGGGUAGUCCCAGCCGUAAACGAUGCUCGCUAGGUGUCAGGCAUGGCGCGACCGUGUCUGGUGCCGCAGGGAAGCCGUGAAGCGAGCCACCUGGGAAGUACGGCCGCAAGGCUGAAACUUAAAGGAAUUGGCGGGGGAGCACAACAACGGGUGGAGCCUGCGGUUUAAUUGGACUCAACGCCGGACAACUCACCGGGGGCGACAGCAAUAUGUAGGCCAAGCUGAAGACUUUGCCUGAAUCGCUGAGAGGAGGUGCAUGGCCGUCGCCAGUUCGUACUGUGAAGCAUCCUGUUAAGUCAGGCAACGAGCGAGACCCGUGCCCACUGUUACCAGCAUGUCCUCCGGGACGAUGGGUACUCUGUGGGGACCGCCGAUGUUAAAUCGGAGGAAGGUGCGGGCCACGGUAGGUCAGUAUGCCCCGAAUCUCCCGGGCUACACGCGGGCUACAAUGGAUGGGACAAUGGGUCCCUCCCCUGAAAAGGGCUGGUAAUCUCACAAACCCAUUCGUAGUUCGGAUCGAGGGCUGUAACUCGCCCUCGUGAAGCUGGAAUCCGUAGUAAUCGCGUUCUUACGAGCACACC